rnacentral:lncRNA from 10 species
CUCUGCCACUGUUGGGGAUCAGGAGAUAAACAUUGGAUCGAGUCAUUCACACUAGUAUAAAUGAGGCUCAGUCCCAAGUCUGUGAUAACCGGCGGUCCUAGAGACCUUCUACAGUAGCCUCUUGUUUGCUGACCAGUGAAGAGGAGGACCAGAGACUCACCCAUGGCCACUCAGCCAGGCAGGACAGCACAGGACAGGACUGAAACCCAGGGUCCUCCUGGGGCAGCAGCUUCCUCCCAGAAGUGGUUCAUGGUGGAGCCCCAGGCAUUGUCUCUCAAGAAACGGUCUGCAGAACAUGGAAGUGAUGGCUGGAGCUGUGGCAGCCAUUUUGCACCAUGAGACAAACUUGUGGCAGCAGCCAUAUAUAAAAGAUGGAGGAGCAGAAAGACAAAAGGAAUCCGGAUAUCUCAUGACCACUGAAUCAUCAUCACACCAGCCUUGCAUCAUCUGCCUCUGGUACUUUUUUUUUUUUUUUUUUUUCUGAGAUGGAGUUUCGCUCUUGUUGCCCAGGCUGGAUUACAAUGGCAUGAUCUCGGCUCACUGCAACUUCCGCUCCCAGAUUCAAGCAAUUCUCCUGCCUCAGCUUCCAAAGUAGUUGAGACUACAGGCGCCUGCUACCAUGCCUGGCUAAUUUUUGUAUUUUUUGUAGACACAGAGUUUCACCAUGUUGGUCAGGCUAGUCUCGAACUCCUGACCUCAGGUGAUCCGCCUGCCUUGGCCUCCCAAAGUGCUGGGAUUAUAGGCGUGAGCCACUGUGCCUGGCCUGCUUCUGGUACUUCUUUAACUUGAAAGAAAAAUAACCUCUUGUCUUUAAGCUAUGGUUAUUUCAUCUCUGUUGGUAGCAGCUAUGUGCAAUUCUCCAAUGAUAUACAGGGUUAGGGUGAGAAAAAGCAGUUGUUAACGCUAUGAGCAAGAGCCUUUGGCACAUGGAGGCCUCGGGUGUAGUUAGGUGGGAGUGGGGCCAGGGAGAUAAACUUAGAGAAGGGUUAGAGCCAGACCUGGACCCUCCAUCAUUUGUGUGAAGGGAGACACGCCUGCCCACUGCACCCCACACAGAGAUCCUUCCUAGGAUGCGGCUUUAGGCUGCUAGACUGAAGGAAGGCUUUCCAGGGGUGGCAGCCCAGGCCCUUGGCCUGGUGGGCAUUACCACCAUCGCUGGCCUGGCCUCUGGUGCUGCUUGGAGCGAGGCUGAGGCCCUGUGUGGCAUGCUCAUAGCUGUACAUCUGGGCUCUGUCUGGAUGCCUCCAUCAGGUGCUGAGGACCCCUGCUUUUCUGAGCUCUGCCGGACACCUCUCUGAAUGCCCAAAGCGCCCCUGACUGAGUCUGCAAAACUCAGUGCGUGGCCUCACCAUGGCCUCAGCCACCCAAGACAGGAACAGGGGCCGCUUCAACUCUUUCCUUCCCUCU